rnacentral:lncRNA from 1 species
GCUCACUCAUAUGGAAAAUGCAAAUUGAAAGUUGGACUAAUUUAGACCACACUAAAAGAGAGCUUGCUACUAUUGUAAAGGAAAUAUACUGUCUUUGAAGAGCUAUUAGAUCUCAGGAUUUUGUUCCUUUCAUGCAGAAUGGCAGCACAGGGUUCAUAUGUAAAUGAUUCAAACACUCAAUCUAACCAAGAGUAUGAAAGAAAAAAUCACUUAUGUGAUCUAAUUUAACUUUCAAAUAAUUAGAUUAUAUUUCUCUUUUAAAAAAUCUGUGAGAUAAAGUUUUUUGC